UCUACGUCAUAUAUUCUGUAAACACAGAAGAGAUGUUCUGUUACUUCGCUUCUACUAUUUGCAAGCUUCCUUUUUUGUGCUUUUUAUUUUGAAAUUUGCUAAGCGCAAUUUUGUCAAUGUCCAGUUUAGGGGAGUGUCUGUGCGAGCUGAUGAGACAAUACGAGAACCUUUACAACCCUUCAAUGCGGUUGUAUUCGGACAAGCAAGCAAAAGUCAACAGCUGGUGGGAGAUAUCUUGAAAUUUGAACACCGAUACUGAUAUCAAAGAAACAUGGAGAAAGAUUCGGAACCGGUGUUGGAGGGGGGUGAUGUUUUGGACAGUCCAGAGAUAGAGAUGAGGGCCCAUCUACAGGUGGUUCAUCGCCCCUUGAUUCAUCAUCUCCCCAGCCUGGUUCAUCACCUGUCCGGCCCCUCUCUCCAACACCCAGGCCCUUCUCACCAACACCCAACCCACUAUCCAGGCGCACCCGUGCCCUCUGCCCUGCAACUCCAUCAACCUCCACCCCAUCUCCCUGACUCAGCUCCAAUGGCCGUAAGAGGAAGACAGCUGAAGAUCCUUUGGACACUGACAUUAUGCAGCGGGUGGAUGACUUAAAGAAACAGCAGCAGUGUCCAGCAAAGGCCGUCUACAACGUCAUGGUACCAUGGAUGGGUCUAUUCCUGCUGAUCAACGUCUCCCGUUUGUCUCACGACAAAAACUGUUGUUGUGUGGUUCUUUUUUCUUAUUCAUAUGUACAUUAGGGUGGUGGGUAAUUUACUGCCGGUUUUUGUGCAUGUUUCUUAUAAUUAUUUUCUCAUUCACAUGUUACUUAGUUUUUUCUCUUAUUUCCCCUUUCAUCACACUUUUCCCCUGUGCAUUACAUUGGUUUUACAUUGCACUAUUGUGAUAGUAAAUACAUAUCUAAAAAGGUC